AUACGUAGGGGGCAAGCGUUGUCCGGAAUGAUUGGGCGUAAAGGGCGCGUAGGCGGCCUGUUAAGUCUGGAGUGAAAGUCCUGCUUUCAAGGUGGGAAUUGCUUUGGAAACUGGCGGGCUGGAGUGCAGGAGAGGUUAGUGGAAUUCCCGGUGUAGCGGUGAAAUGCGUAGAGAUCGGGAGGAACACCAGUGACGAAGGCGACUUACUGGACUGUAACUGACGCUGAAGCACGAAAGCGUGGGGAGC
rnacentral:rRNA from 1 species